rfam:Myotis davidii contig130288, whole genome shotgun sequence.
GAUGGUUCUCGGGUGACACACCCUGGAAUCGGGCUCCCUCCUCUCUGGUUCUGGAUGCGUCACCCGCGAACAGCU